rnacentral:lncRNA from 1 species
AACCUGUGCAGUCCCUUUCUCUCUAACCCAGGGCUUGGUUUGACAGAGGUUUGUUUAAAGCUUAUAAUAGGGCACUUACUUUCGCAAUGCAUACAAGGCCCCCCCCCGCCCUCCUUUUUGGCAAAUCUGACCACGACUCCAUUUUGCUCCUCCCUUCAUAUAUAGGCAGAAACUCAAAUAGGAAGUACCCGUGCAAAGGACUAUUCAACGCUGGUCUGACCAAUCGGGAAUGGAUGCUUCAUGAUUGUUUUGAUGUGCAGUUACUCGGUACUCGGCAAACUACCUGCCCUCCAGGACACCUACAGCACCCGAUGUCACAGAAAGGCCAAAAAGAUCAUCAAGGACAACAACCACCCGAGCCACUGCCUGUUCACCCCGUUAUCAUCCAGAAGGCGAGCUGCUGCUUUGCCAAGUCACGCUACCGCCGGCCGUACCGGCUACUGAGGAAGAUCUGUCAGUUGAUCCCCACCGUUCCGGCCUGCCUACUGGAGAUCAGCCCUGUAGCCCACCGCCUGGCCACCGUACCCUGGGACAGAACCCUGUACUACCCCUCUACGCCCUGCAGCACAGAGAGAGAGAGAGAGAGAGAGAGAGAGAGAGAGAGAGAGAGAGAGAGAGAGAGAGAGAGAGAGAGAGAGAGGGGGUAAAGGUCAUAAUGGCUCCAGUAGAUGUGGUAGACUGGUCUCUGGCCUCGUCCUCUUCAUCCCCUGAGGUCUGCUUCAUCUCUCUCAUCCUCUUCCUCAUCCUCACCAUCACACUCCUCACUGUAUGUAUAAACUGCCGCAGACAAUCAGAUAUUCAGAUGGAUCCUAUAGACGGAGCACAGAUCGAGGCUCAGGAGGAAACUAAAGCUGCAAAGAAGUCCAAUAGCAACAACAAUAAAGGCUCCCAUUUAGCCACAGCUCACACCUUACCUUCAUGGAGGGACCAUAAGAACAUGCCUGAGAGCACACUUCCCUCGACCCUCGCCCGCAGCCGGACACUCCCCUUGGCCCCCGCCCACAGCCAGAAGUCCACAAUAGACCUGAAUUCGCUUACUGUCUAAAGCACCCCUGGUCUCAACACAGACCCCCAGAUACUCACACUACAAGCAGACACAGGUGUGGUGGUUGGUGUCUAACUGGUUGAUUGAUUGAUUAAUUGAUUGACAGAUUGAAUUGAUUUGAUCAUUAAAAGUAGAAGGCUGCUCCAGGCAGAGACAUGACAUACAUUAAAGUGCAGUCAAACACGUGAUCUUCCUAUUUUUUUUCUAAAUAUUUCCACACUAUGAGGUCGAAAUGACACUCUAAAAUUAUGAUAUUGUCCUUUUUGUAUAAGAGCUGUUUGAAAAAAAAAUGGCUGGAAUUUGGGAUGGAGUUUUGGACCCGCCGCAUACCAUCACAAGGCAAUCUGAUUAUAAUGGACCAAUGAACGUUCAUCGUUUAUUUGCAUCUGAUUAUAAUGGACCAAUGAACGUUCAUCGUUUAUUUGCAUCUGAUUAUAAUGGACCAAUGAACGUUCAUCGUUUAUUUGCAUCUGAUUAUAAUGGACCAAUGAACGUUCAUCGUUUAUUUGCAUCUGAUUAUAAUUGACCAAUGAACGUUCAUCAUUUAUUUGCAUCUGAUUAUAAUGGACCAAUGAACGUUCAUCGUUUAUUUCCAUAUAUCCUCCUAGUUCUGGUGCUGGUCCCAACCAAAAGCAAGAGAGAUUGUACAGUAUGGUGUCUUCUGUCACUUUGUCAGCUUUGGCUUCCAUGUAUUUUUCAUCAUCAAGUGUCAGAGAAAUUAUGUAUAUCCACAGCACACUACGCAGUGCACACUACACACAGCACACUACGCAGUGCACACUAUGCAGUGCCCACUACUCACAGCACACUACGCAGUGCACACAACACGCAGCACACUACAUGCAGCACACUACGCAGUGCACACUACACACAGCACACUACGCAGUGCACACUACUCACAGCACACUACGCAGUGCACACUACACACAGCACACUACGGAGUGCACACUACUCACAGCACACUACUCACAGCACACUAUGCAGUGCACACUACUCACAGCACACUACGCAGUGCACACUACACACAGCACACUACACGCAGCACACUACACGCAGCACACUACAUGCAGCACACUACAUGCAGCACACUACACGCAGCACACUACGCAGAGCACACUACACACAGCACACUACGCAGAGCACACUACGCAGUGCACACUACACACAGCACACUAUGCAGUGCACACUACACACAGCACACUACACACAGCACACUACACGUAGCACACUACAUGCAGCACACUAUGCAGUGCACACUACACACAGCACACUACACACAGCACACUAUGCAGUGCACACUACACAGUGCACACUAUGCAGUGCACACUACACACAGCACACUACACACAGCACACUACGCAGUGCACACUACACACAGCACACUACAUGCAGCACACUACACACAGCACACUACACAC